rnacentral:tRNA from 1 species
AAGAUGCUAGUAAAAUAGCCAUUACACUGCCUUGUCAAGGCAGCAUUGCAGGUUAAAACCCUGCGCAUCUUA